CCUACGGGAGGCAGCAGUGGGGAAUUUUGGACAAUGGGGGAAACCCUGAUCCAGCAAUGCCGCGUGUGUGAAGAAGGCCUUCGGGUUGUAAAGCACUUUUAUUCGGAGAGAAAUCCCUUGGGCUAAUACCCUGAGGGUCUGACGGUACCGGAUGAAUAAGCGCCGGCUAACUACGUGCCAGCAGCCGCGGUAAUACGUAGGGCGCGAGCGUUAAUCGGAAUUACUGGGCGUAAAGCGUGCGCAGGCGGUUUUGUGAGACAGAUGUGAAAGCCCCGGGCUCAACCUGGGAAUUGCAUUUGUGACUGCAAGGCUAGAGUGUGUCAGAGGGAGGUGGAAUUCCGCGUGUAGCAGUGAAAUGCGUAGAGAUGCGGAGGAACACCGAUGGCGAAGGCAGCCUCCUGGGAUAACACUGACGCUCAUGCACGAAAGCGUGGGGAGCAAACAGGAUUAGAUACCCUGGUAGUCCACGCCCUAAAACGAUGUACAACUAGUUGUACGGUAAAUUUAAAUUUCUUAGGUAACGCAGCUAACGCGUAGAAGUUGACCGCGUGGGGAGGACGGCGCGUAAGUUAAACGUUAAAGUAGUUAGUUAGUAGNGNGAGAGNGCGAGACGACGACGAGGAGAGG
rnacentral:rRNA from 1 species